rnacentral:rRNA from 1 species
AUUGAACGCUGGCGGCAGGCCUAACACAUGCAAGUCGAGCGGAGCGACGGACGGGUGAGUGAUGCCUAUGUAUCUGACUGGGAGUGGGGGAUAGCGUACGACAACGGGCGCUAAUACAGCAUCCUCUCAGACGAGCCUAUGUCGGAUUAGCUAGUUGGUGGGGUAAAGGCCUACCAAGACGACGAGCCGUAACUGGUCUGAGAGGAUGAUCAGUCACACUGGAACGGAGAAACGGUCCAGACUCCUACGUGAGGCAGCAGUGGGGAAUAUUGGACAAUGGGCGCAAGCCGGAUCCAGCCAUGCCGCGUGUGUGAAGAAGUUCUUCGGGUUGUAAAGCACUUUCAGUUGGGAGGCGUUACCAGCAGAAUAAGCACCGGCUAACUUCGUGCCAGCAGCCGCGGUAAUAC